UACGUAGGGCGCAAGCGUUGUCCGGAAUUGUUGGGCGUAAAGAGCUCGUAGGCGGCUUGUCACGUCGGGUGUGAAAGCCCGGGGCUUAACCCCGGGUCUGCAUUCGAUACGGGCUGGCUAGAGUGUGGUAGGGGAGAUCGGAAUUCCUGGUGUAGCGGUGAAAUGCGCAGAUAUCAGGAGGAACACCGGUGGCGAAGGCGGAUCUCUGGGCCGAUACUGACGCUGAGGAGCGAAAGCGUGGGGAGCAAACAGG
rnacentral:rRNA from 1 species